rnacentral:rRNA from 1 species
GACGAACGCUGGCGGCGUGCUUAACACAUGCAAGUCGAACGGAAAGGCCCUGCUUGCAGGGUACUCGAGUGGCGAACGGGUGAGUAACACUUGGGUGAUCUGCCCUGCACUUCGGGAUAAGCCUGGGAAACUGGGUCUAAUACCGGAUAGGAGCCAUUUUUAGUGUGAUGGUUGGAAAGUUUUUUCGGUGUAGGAUGAGCUCGCGGCCUAUCAGCUUGUUGGUGGGGUAAUGGCCUACCAAGGCGGCGACGGGUAGCCGGCCUGAAAGGGUGGACGGCCACAUUGGGACUGAGAUACGGCCCAGACUCCUACGGGAGGCAGCAGUGGGGAAUAUUGCACAAUGGGCGCAAGCCUGAUGCAGCGACGCCGCGUGGGGGAUGACGGCCUUCGGGUUGUAAACUCCUUUCGCUAGGGACGAAGCUUUUGUGACGGUACCUAGAUAAGAAGCACCGGCUAACUACGUG